rnacentral:rRNA from 1 species
AAUGCCUAGGAAUCUGCCUGGUAGUGGGGGAUAACGUUCGGAAACGAACGCUAAUACCGCAUACGUCCUACGGGAGAAAGCAGGGGACCUUCGGGCCUUGCGCUAUCAGAUGAGCCUAGGUCGGAUUAGCUAGUUGGUGGGUAAUGGCUCACCAAGGCGACGAUCCGUAACUGGUCUGAGAGGAUGAUCAGUCACACUGGAACUGAGACACGGUCCAGACUCCUACGGGAGGCAGCAGUGGGGAAUAUUGGACAAUGGGCGAAAGCCUGAUCCAGCCAUGCCGCGUGUGUGAAGAAGGUCUUCGGAUUGUAAAGCACUUUAAGUUGGGAGGAAGGGCCAUUACCUAAUACGUGAUGGUUUUGACGUUACCGACAGAAUAAGCACCGGCUAACUCUGUGCCAGCAGCCGCGGUAAUACAGAGGGUGCAAGCGUUAAUCGGAAUUACUGGGCGUAAAGCGCGCGUAGGUGGUUUGUUAAGUUGGAUGUGAAAUCCCCGGGCUCAACCUGGGAACUGCAUUCAAAACUGACUGACUAGAGUAUGGUAGAGGGUGGUGGAAUUUCCUGUGUAGCGGUGAAAUGCGUAGAUAUAGGAAGGAACACCAGUG